GAUCCUGGCUCAGGAUGAACGCUAGCUACAGGCUUAACACAUGCAAGUCGAGGGGCGAGCAUGGUCUUAGCUUGCUAAGGCCGAUGGCGACCGGCGCACGGGUGAGUAACACGUAUCCAACCUGCCGUCUACUCUUGGACAGCCUUCUGAAGGAAGAUUAAUACAAGAUGGCAUCAUGAGUUCGCAUGUUCACAUGAUUAAAGGUAUUCCGGUAGACGGAUGGGG
rnacentral:rRNA from 1 species